GUGGGGAAUAUUGCACAAUGGGCGCAAGCCUGAUCCAGCCAUGCCGCGUGAGUGAUGAAGGCCCUAGGGUUGUAAAGCUCUUUCACCGAUGAAGAUAAUGGCGGUAGUCGGAGAAGAAGCCCCGGCUAACUUCGUGCCAGCAGCCGCGGUAAUACGAAGGGGGCUAGCGUUGUUCGGAAUUACUGUGCGUAAAGCGCACGUAGGCGGAUAUUUAAGUCAGGGGUGAAAUCCCGGGGCUCAACCCCGGAACUGCCUUUGAUACUGGGUAUCUCGAGUAUGGAAGAGGUGAGUGGAAUUCCGAGUGUAGAGGUGAAAUUCGGAGAUAUUCGGAGGAACACCAGUGGCGAAGGCGGCUCACUGGUCCAUUACUGACGCUGAGGUGCGAAAGCGUGGGGAGCAAACAGGAUUAGAAACCCGAGUAGUCC
rnacentral:rRNA from 1 species